AGCCAGGAGAUGAGGGUUAUGGGAGAUACACGGAGAUAGCACUCAAGCGACGAUACUCAUCCUAGGGCCACCAUAGCCGCAGGCUUCACUUCCGUUUAAUUUGCAUUUUUUCAAUCUCUACAUCCCAUCUUGCUAAUUGUAUCUAUUUUUAACCUAAUCAAUCUUUGUUCUUUUUUCUAUUUGUAUGGGUUCAAGGACAAUUGUGCUAACUCAGGGUGUUCAGAUCUAGGGUUCUGACAAAAUGGAGAUGGUUACGGGUUCCGGUGGCGAGUGUAUUCCGGCAACUACGGUAAGGUUCUGACGAGUCUGAUCUCCCUCUACAUGUUCUUACUAAUACAAGCUCUGUCGAAUUUAUAUAAACAUUUAUGGUUUUGUGGAAUGAUGAGAUCACAGCGAUGGUGGCUAAAACGAUGUUCGACGCUUAUUAUUUUAAGUUUUCAGUUUUACAUAAGCAAUUGAUUCUUUCUUUUUA